UACCGGGUGGCGACCGGCGCACGGGUGAGUAACACGUAUCCAACCUGCCGAUAACUCGGGGAUAGCCUUUCGAAAGAAAGAUUAAUACCCGAUGGCAUAAUUAGACCGCAUGGUCUUAUUAUUAAAGAAUUUCGGUUAUCGAUGGGGAUGCGUUCCAUUAGGCAGUUGGUGAGGUAACGGCUCACCAAACCUUCGAUGGAUAGGGGUUCUGAGAGGAAGGUCCCCCACAUUGGAACUGAGACACGGUCCAA
rnacentral:rRNA from 1 species